GAUGAACGCUAGCUACAGGCUUAACACAUGCAAGUCGAGGGGUAACGAGAGGAAAGCUUGCUUUCCUUGUUGACGACCGGCGCACGGGUGAGUAACGCGUAUCCAACCUGCCCCCAACUAGGGAAUAACCUUGCGAAAGUAAGACUAAUACCCUAUAAUUUCCUCAGAUGUCAUCUGACGAGGAAUAAAGAUUUAUCGGUUGUGGAUGGGGAUGGGUCUGAGUAGCUCUGUUGGCGGGGUAACGGCCUACCAAGGCAACGAUCAGUUGGGGUUUUGAGAGGAAGGUCCCCCCCAUUGGAACUGGGACACGGUCCAAACUCCUACGGGAGGCAGCAGUGUGGAAUAUUGGUCAAUGGGCGGAAGCCUGAACCAGCCAAGUAGCGUGCAGGAUGACGGCCCUAUGGGUUGUAAACUGCUUUUAUACAGGAAUAAAGUUAGCCACGUUUGGUUAUUUUUAGGUACUGUAUGAAUAAGGACCGGCUAAUUCCGUGCCAGCCGCCGCCGUAA
rnacentral:rRNA from 1 species